GUAAUGUGUUUACUAGUCUUGGUCGUGGUAUGUAAUGUGUUUACUAGUCUUGGUAUGUAGCGUGGUAUGGAAUGUGUUUACUAGUCUUGGCCGUGGUAUGUAGCGUGGUAUGGAAUGUGUUUACUAGUCUUGGUCGUGGUAUGGUAUGUGUUUACUAGUCUUGGUCGUGGUAUGGAAUGUGUUUACUAGUCUUGGUCGUGGUAUGGAAGGUGUUUACUAGUCUUGGUCGUGGUAUGUAGCGUGGUAUGGUAUGUGUUUACUAGUCUUG
ensembl:lncRNA